AUUGAACGCUAGCGGGAUGCCUUACACAUGCAAGUCGAACGAGUGGCGAACGGGUGAGUACUGUAUCGGUACGUGCCCGAUGGAGGGGGAUAACUACUGGAAACGGUAGCUAAUACCGCAUACCUUCGUAUGUGCCCAUAUGGGAUUAGCUAGAAGGUGGGGUAACGGCUCACCUAGGCGACGAUCCCUAGCUGGUCUGAGAGGAUGACCAGCAAAACAGGAAGUAAACCAAGGUCCAGACUCCUACGGGUGGCACCAGGGGGGAGAAUUGAACAACGGGCGAAAGAAUGAUGCUGCCAUGCCGCGUGAAUGACGAAGGCCUUCGGGUUGUAAAGUACUUUAAGCGAAGAGGAUUAACUCGAAGAGGAAGCACCGGCUAACUCCGUGCCAGCUGCCGCGGUAAUUC
rnacentral:rRNA from 1 species